rnacentral:rRNA from 1 species
UGGUGGAUUGAUUUGUCUACUUAAUUGUGAUAACGAACGAGACCUCUGUUUUUAAAUAAUAUUGUUUAUUAUUUUAUAUAUAAUAUUUCUUAGAAAGACAUUUUUGGAUAACAAGAAGGAAGUGAGAGGCGAUAACA